UCAGGCGUGGUGUACGGAACACAGCCGCUCUCUGUACGGAGUAUAGCUGAACUCUAAAUGCGGCAGAUGGGGUUCGACUCCCCACGUCUGAA